GACGAACGCUGGCGGCGUGCUUAACACAUGCAAGUCGAACGGAAAGGCCCUGCUUUUGUGGGGUGCUCGAGUGGCGAACGGGUGAGUAACACGUGAGUAACCUGCCCUUGACUUUGGGAUAACUUCAGGAAAUUGGGGCUAAUACCGGAUAGGAGCUCCUGCUGCAUGGUGGGGGUUGGAAAGUUUCGGCGGUUGGGGAUGGACUCGCGGCUUAUCAGCUUGUUGGUGGGGUAGUGGCUUACCAAGGCUUUGACGGGUAGCCGGCCUGAGAGGGUGACCGGCCACAUUGGGACUGAGAUACGGCCCAGACUCCUACGGGAGGCAGCAGUGGGGAAUAUUGCACAAUGGGCGGAAGCCUGAUGCAGCAACGCCGCGUGCGGGAUGACGGCCUUCGGGUUGUAAACCGCUUUCGCCUGUGACGAAGCGUGAGUGAUGGUAAUGGGUAAAGAAGCACCGGCUAACUACGUG
rnacentral:rRNA from 1 species